UACGGAGGGGGCUAGCGUUGCUCGGAAUUACUGGGCGUAAAGCGCACGUAGGCGGUCUUUUAAGUCGGGGGUGAAAUCCUGGAGCUCAACUCCAGAACUGCCUUCGAUACUGGAAGACUCGAGUCCGGGAGAGGUGAGUGGAACUGCGAGUGUAGAGGUGAAAUUCGUAGAUAUCGCCUGGAACGCCGAAGGUGAAAACAGUCUGCUGGGGGUGUGCCGACGCUGAGACACGAAAGCCAGGGGAGCGAACGGG
rnacentral:rRNA from 1 species